rnacentral:rRNA from 1 species
CCUACGGGAGGCAGCAGUGGGGAAUCUUGCGCAAUGGGGGAAACCCUGACGCAGCGACGCCGCGUGAAGGAUGAAGGCUUUCGGGUUGUAAACUUCGGUAGACUGGGAAGAAGAAAUACGUUCGUUGAGGGCGUAUAGUGACGGUACCAGUCUGAAGCCCCGGCUAAUUAC